AACGAACGCUGGCGGCAGGCUUAACACAUGCAAGUCGAACGCCCCGCAAGGGGAGUGGCAGACGGGUGAGUAACGCGUGGGAAUCUACCCAGCUCUACGGAACAACCGAGGGAAACUUCAGCUAAUACCGUAUACGCCCUACGGGGGAAAGAUUUAUCGGAAUUGGAUGAGCCCGCGUUGGAUUAGCUAGUUGGUGAGGUAACGGCUCACCAAGGCGACGAUCCAUAGCUGGUCUGAGAGGAUGAUCAGCCACACUGGGACUGAGACACGGCCCAGACUCCUACGGGAGGCGGCAGUGGGGAAUAUUGGACAAUGGGCGCAAGCCUGAUCCAGCCAUGCCGCGUGAGUGAUGAAGGCCUUAGGGUUGUAAAGCUCUUUCAGUGGGGACGAUAAUGACGGUACCCACAGAAGAAGCCCCGGCUAACUUCGUGCCAGCCGCCGCAGUAAAAC
rnacentral:rRNA from 1 species